AACCCAAUGUGAACGUUACCAAACUGUUGCCUCGGCGGGGUCACGCCCCGGGUGCGUCGCAGCCCCGGAACCAGGCGCCCGCCGGAGGAACCAACCAAACUCUUUCUGUAGUCCCCUCGCGGACGUAUUUCUUACAGCUCUGAGCAAAAAUUCAAAAUGAAUCAAAACUUUCAACAACGGAUCUCUUGGUUCUGGCAUCGAUGAAGAACGCAGCGAAAUGCGAUAAGUAAUGUGAAUUGCAGAAUUCAGUGAAUCAUCGAAUCUUUGAACGCACAUUGCGCCCGCCAGUAUUCUGGCGGGCAUGCCUGUCCGAGCGUCAUUUCAACCCUCGAACCCCUCCGGGGGAUCGGCGUUGGGGAUCGGGACCCCUCACACGGGUGCCGGCCCCGAAAUACAGUGGCGGUCUCGCCGCAGCCUCUCCUGCGCAGUAGUUUGCACAACUCGCACCGGGAGCGCGGCGCGUCCACGUCCGUAAAACACCCAACUUUCUGAAAUGUUGACCUCGGAUCAGGUAGGAAUACCCGCUGAACUUAAGCAUAUCAAUAAGGCGGAGGAA
rnacentral:rRNA from 1 species